CGCCCUGGGUUAGUCGGGACCUAAGCUGAGGCCGAAAGGCGUAGGUGAUGGACAACAGGUUGAUAUUCCUGUACUACCGAUAACCGUUUGAGAGAAGGGAUGACACAGUAGGAUAAGCUAAGCACACUGUUGGUUAUGUGUGCCCAAGCAUUGAGGCAGUCAAAGUAGGCAAAUCCGCUUUGAUAAUGCUGGGAUGUGAUGGGGAGCGAAAUUUAGUAGCGAA
rnacentral:rRNA from 1 species